AUAUCAUAAUUCUUUUUGUUCCAAUUUUGCAAUAAACAGCACAGACUAAACAUUCGCUAAAAUAAGACCAUGCAUGUGUCCCCAGACCUAGUUCUUUAACCAUGUAGGUCUGCUCUUAGAAAUGCCGGUGAUACAU